UAUACGUGCGUUUUUUGCACAAAGUUUUGAAAAAUAGUUUCUAUGGAUGCAAACUGCUUAUAACUAUAUUUAUUUGUAGGAAACAGAUUGUAUAUUGUAAAUUGGAGUACAUAUUGCAAUGAAGCUGGGUGGUUGUAGAUGCAUACCAAAGUUAUUUCUUUACCAUUGAGGGCUGACCAAUGACUCAGUGGAUAAGACUACAUUAAUUAUUAAUUUUCUUCAUAUUUGAAAGUACUUUGAUCAGAGUACCAUAUUAAAAAUUGAGAAUCUUCGCCUACCUGGGAAAACUGGAAAGGAAGAUCAUUUAAUCACUGACAUGACCUGCUUAAUGUCCAAUGAAAAUUCAUUGCUGCUGCUCAAGAUAUGCUUGUUAUGUAUUCUGAUCAUACAAGAAACUGGAAGUUUCAUUUGCCUCAUGUGGUCUUUGGAAAGGUAGAGAAGAAGAUAAAUGACAGGCAUGCUGAUGUUAAAGGUAUUGCUUUCUAAACUUUUUAUAAAAACCAAUCAAGUAUUUUCAAACAGUGAAAAGGAGAAAGAAUAGGAAAUAUAAGAAUGAAAGUCAAUGUACAUGGUAAAUCUAGACAUUAUUUGGUACCUUGGAUGAAAAUGACUUCUUUUCCACAAAUUCUAACCCCCUAGCCAUAUGACACUAUUAUCUGUUUUUAUUCAUACACUGUUGAUUCCACUCUGAAACUGUGCUGAAUUAAGGUGAAAUUUUACUAACAGCUUAGUUCUGAAAUGGAAAAUUAUUAAGAAACUGGAAGGUUUUGGGAACUACAGAUGAUGAAUCAAUUUCAUCUGAAAGUGAAACAAACAAUUCUAUUGCAAAUGCAAGAGAAUGUUGUGUUGUUAAUCCCUGCACCACCAAACUUUCCCUUUGGCGGCCAUCCAAGACAGAUCUCAUUUGAUCCAGACCUCGCCUGCAGCACCUCUCGUGGACUCAUGACCAUAUCGAUUAUACCCCAGACGACUGAAAUAUCGUGGCUUUGUCAGAUGAUUCACGAAUUCAGCUGCUAACACCUGAUGGCAGACUUCGAGUGUGGCACAAAAUCCCAUGAAGCCAUGUACUCAAGUCAACAAAGCACCGUGGAAGUUCCAUAAUGGUGUCAGCUGGCUUUUGAUGACAUAUCCUGGGUCCUCUGGCUACAAAUGAACCGAUCCAAAUGAACCUUCGCCAUAGGCUUUCAAAUGGAAACUAAAAUUAAAAACUUCUUGCACAUUGAUUACUGCAAGGAAUUGUUCAAAAAACCAAUCAAAAAGUAGUUUUGAUCACAGAGAGACCAAUUACAGUCAUCCCGUGUGUGGGAAAAGUAAUUAGUGAGCAAAUAUUUAGUUCAUUAAUGAAAUUUUUGCAUUUUGCAAAUGAUGAAGAAUUUACGUGAGCAGUCAUCUGUAACCAAACGUGAAGAAAAUAUACAAAAUUCAUAAAAAGUUGAUUGGAAAAUUUUAAAGUGUUUACAUUCUCAAAAGAAAGAAAGCAGCAUAUUCCUUCAAAACGAAAUCAUUUUGAGAUUAAACUUUUUCAUCUCUGUAAACCCAGAAGCGGAAUAGAUACAGAAUUCGGCCGUAUAUAUGAAGGAAAAUGUAUUUAGAGAAGAGUAAACAGUAUGGCAAGCUACUAAAAGUGUUUUGUCUUCAGUGCACAAUUUACUGGGACAGGUGUAUUUGUUAACAGCAGACAAUUUGUACACUUCUCGAGAAUUAGCUGAAAUUCUAAUUCAGAAUAAAAGUGACUUAUGUGGGACAAUACAAAGUAACAGAAAAGAUUUACCAGCAUCAUUUGAAAAUUAAGAAAGGAAAAAUAAAAGCUUUACAGAAAGGAAAAAUUUGUGUCCUAAAAUGGAUGGAAAAGAAAGAAAUCUGAAUGCUGUGUUGAACAAAGCUAGCAUUCUGGAAGUAGUAACAAAAGGAACAAAAUAUAUUGAAAAAUCCCAAGUUGGUUGACUAUUAAUGUCAGAGGAGCUAUAAUAGAUCUGAUCAGUGUUUAUUGUAUUACAAUAUUUUGUGGUACCAGCAGAGAAAUUACUACCAAAAGCAUUUUUCAACGCUUACUUAAUCACACUGUGUAGAAUUCAUUUGUGAUUUAUAAGAAAAUUCUUAAAUUUUUCUCCGAUGCGCACGAUAAUCUUUUCAAACCCUACACAAGUUGCAGAUCAUAACAACUCGUAUAAGUAUCAUACAUUUUUACAAGUGUUCUUCCGUAAUUUGAAGAGAGAUGAAUCCCACUUGUUUAGCAAGCUGUGUGGAGAUUUAAUGAUAUGCUGAAGAAUUACCUGAUGCAUAGGGUUAAAAGGAAGUUUAAAAUGAGAUAAAAUAUUUUAGGUUGACCUAAAAUAUUUUAAACCUUAUAGAGCACAUCUGAGAUGCUCUUGGGAGGGCAAUUUCAUCUUGCUCUCCCCCUUCAAGAACCAUCACCUAGUUGAAAACUCUUGCUGCUUUAGUGUGAUUGACUGCAACAGGCUUCCUCAACUAUCUCCUGUCCAGUAUGCCAUCAUGCUGCGUGACUUGUCUGGCUAUGAGAGGGGACCACAGUGCAAUAGGUUAUACCCUAUGUGUUUGACUCACUUUCAGUUAAAUAUAACAACAGGAAUUUUGGACAUUCUUGCAUCUUGAAGUUCACUGAUAAUCAUCAAUUUUGAAUGAUGUAUCUUUUUUUGUGUUAAAUGUGUGUAUUCAUACCGAAUUGGAUUAAAAUCUGUCUAUUAGCUUUUCA
rnacentral:lncRNA from 1 species